CCAGCUCGGGUGGGCACGACCAGCGCUGCCUUUCCCGACCCCCUCACGGACCCACACUCGGACACUGCCUGAGCGGGGUCUAGAAGGCUACAGCUGACACUGGAAGGAAAGGUGAUCUAGCACAGGCAGAGUUACAC
rnacentral:lncRNA from 1 species